rnacentral:rRNA from 1 species
UACAGAGGGUGCAAGCGUUGUUCGGAAUUAUUGGGCGUAAAGCGCGUGUAGGCGGCCAAGUAUGUCGGGUGUGAAAGCCCUCGCUUAACCGAGGAAGUGCGCCCGAAACUGCAUGGCUUGAGUGUCGGAGAGGAUCGCGGAAUACCCGGUGUAGAGGUGAAAUUCGUAGAUAUCGGGUGGAACACCAGUGGCGAAGGCGGCGUCCUGGACCAACACGUGACACUGAUGAGCGAAAGCCAGGGGAGCAAACGGGAGUUAGA